UCUCGCUCGGUCCUUCCCUUUUCUUUCUUUCCCACGAACGUUCUUCUCUCUCGAUCACGGACUGUCUCUCUUUUUCGCUUCCGGUUUUUCUCUUCAUCAUCGUCCUCAUCAUCGUUGUGCCCCUCGUUCGGUCGUCCGUUCGCGUCGCAACGACUACCUUACCUCGGCGGAUGACGAAUGACGAGUGAGUGCUGACUGUGGGGGAUAUCGCGGAGCCGACCGCGUUGGUCUUACCGCUAAUCCCCUAACGUCUCGUGGUAGUGGGUGCUGAUGAUGAUAGUGGUACGCUAAUACGAGCCGAUCACGCUGUUCCGCGAGAGCGCGAUUGUGUGUAGGCGGACGCGCCUUCCCUCCCAUCCUUUCCCCCGCCAGUGUAUAGCUUGACGAACAGGCUAAUCGCGCCUGACCGCUUAGUCACCGACAGUUCAUUCUCGAGGCCCUCGAGAUCCUCUUCGCGUGAUCCCGCCGGAACGCGAGCCACAAACGUUGAGAGGGUCGGGGUGAUCGACCGACAGUCGACGACGCUUCGUGCGUUUCCGACGUGCACUUAUCCAAAUUUCAUCCUCGUGCGAAACAGAAGUAAAUGGGAGACGAUCGUGAAGGGAUAAAGAAACGAACGCACGUAUCCGCGUUUUCGAACUGUCGAUCAAGCUAUCGAUCGAGGACCUGCGAGGAUCAACGCCCCUCGCGGGACGUUUCAUCCCCGUGCGAUACAUGACGAGCUGCAGUACGAUUUACACGACAGUUUACGCGCCACCAGUGACGUGGCUGAUGAUCGAUGAUCGGCGCGAGUCGUGAAGGCUCACGUGGUCGACUUUCACUCGCUGCCGCACGCAUAUAUUUAUGAUGAAAUUCACCUGGACUGUCGGCGAAACGACUCGGAGUUCCAAGGGCUGGUAGAUGCGACCGGUCGAUCGUUUAUAGUAGGUAGUACCAUGACACUCGGCAGCCGCCGACAUUCGGAGUGAGCUAUGUACAGGCACGGACUCCUUGACCUCUUAAACCGCGACACGACAUGAGGAGUAUACCACGCGAGUAUGUGUAAACCGCUCUCGACAAUGCGGCGAGGGUGACUCGGUGUAACUCGAGGGGACUAGCGAUCGAACUUUCUGUGAUUUCGAGAGAGAUUCGUCAUUCGGCUCGAAAAGCAUCGUCGAAUCGUGCCUUGCACCGUCGUAAACCGCGACACGGUAUAAUCACCGUUGUAAUUUGUCAGCACGCGUCAUCGUUUUCAACAAGCGAGAUCACUAGAAACUUCAAAGUGCAGGAAGCAGCAAGUUGUGAGCAGACAAGAAGUCUCCGUCGCCCAUCCAUCACAUGCGAACAACACGCUCUCCGGCGUUUUUCGUUAUUGGCCGUCAAUAGAAACUUGUGUCGGAUAUUGUCUAUUUAUCCGUAAUUUUUUCCUAAGUCAUUCUAAAAUAUCGAGAAAUAAAUCAUCGCAUAGUACAAUUUUGCAACAUAGUGCAUCGAUAUACGAAUCUGAGGUUGCUAUCUUUUGUAUUGUAAAUUUUCAGCUUCGACUCGCGUGAUUCCAUACAUCCUAAAAAAGAGAGAAGCACGAUUUCUAUAUUCAAAAAAAUGUUUUCAAAUGUGAAUUUCACGAGUGUUAAUUAAAAGUGUAAUCAUACGCAAUGUGAAGUUUGAAAAAAAAAAAAAAGAUGUUUCACGCGAGCUUUCACUGCGAGCUAGCACUGCGGCAGAAGUUAACGACGUUCCGAAAUAGCCUAGAUGCAAUCGCAGUGAUCGAAGUAAAACGAUAUAAACCGUUGAGAUAGGAAAAGAGAAAUCAGCGGCACAUAACUGGCAGCGCGAUAUAUCGCAUUGUAAUCUCUAAUGCUUCAAAGUCCUGUUGGUUGGAUCGAUCGAUAACAACGUGAGGGAUAUCGAUCGGCAGCAAUCGAGCACCGAGACGAUCUAGCCGUAGUAUGAGGCCGACGAAAGUAGUACAAAAUCGAAAGGGAUGAUCGAGCAAAGAUCCCAAUGACAUCUCGGCGGGGCGGGAGCGAGGGGUAUAAAAGUCCUCCCAGCCCUCCGAGCAGCGGUUCGGAGGACAAUGGUUUCACAAACCGACCCCGGGUGGCCGGACUCUACGUGAAGAAUUUGAGCAGAGAGGAGUUAGAUGAAUUGGCCAAGGAGGGAAUUUACGGGCCUACCGGGAACCCAAACGACCGACCCAGAGACAGCGGUAGUCAGAGGAGUCUCAAUAUUCCAGGUAGCAGCAGGGACUUGGACGGUCAGGAUCAUCUCAGAGGAGUGACUUCCAGGACACCUCAACCACCGAGAAGAUCCGUUAUCGCAGGUAGAUUCCGAGAGCCCUGUGGCGGGUUAUCGGAGAACUUAGCGCGAAGGGAUCACCAUGGUUCGCUUCCAAUGGAAAGAGGUUGGCCGAGGCGACCGGAGGAUCGUCAUGGACAAGCCUCGUCGGAGAGGUCCGUCCGAGGAUCCUCCGAGUUUCCUGCUAGCUGGAGAGAACCCUUCGUGCGAUCUGGCAUGUCACCGAGAGGAAGUGCCAUUGACGUGCGGAUUACUAGUGAGGACUCCAAAGUGGCGGCUGGACCGCGUCGCUUCGGAGAAGCUCCAAGGCAUCCCGAAGCACCUUUGCCCCGCAUCCCAUCGACGGGAUCUGGCGGGGACCAAGGACCGUCGAGAAAAUCGCCGCCAUCAUACGUGGGUCCAAGUCCGCCUAAGUAUACCGAGUACGAGGAACCGAGUUUGCGGAUGUCAAAAAUUGAUUCCAAAACUGCGACAAAAGUCUACCAAACCAGCGACAAGGAACGGCCAAGCUCACCAUCGUUGAAAGGGGAUAAGGAGGAUCUAGAAACGGUCGCCAAAUCGAGAGACUCGCGCGAUGACGCAGACAAGGCAGACAGAGUUUCGAGUCCGGAAAAGCCGACUUCACCGGAGUCUAAAAAGAGCGAAUCCCCGCCGACGAAGAGAAUCGGUUCCAGGACGCAGGAUAGCACGAGAUUGCGGCCGCCGUUAGCUGGAACCGCCGGUACCUCCGCCGAUUCUGGCACUGGUGAUUCCGGAAGUGCGGAGAUCCAGACGGACGUCAUGACACCACAGACCGCGUCGAAUGACAUUCUCGACGUCAGGGAGUCCAAGAUCGAAAGCAAGUCGUCUGGUGCGAGGACUCCCGGAAACAAGAGUGGCAAGCAAACGGUCAAGCCGUUCACGAAGGAGAGCAGGUUGGAGAACAAGACUGUGCAAUUAGUGCGUGACUAUGGCUUUCAACCAAAGAAAAAAAUGUCGGUGGAGGAUGGUGCGGUACUGCCAAACAAAUUCGAACCGUUUCCGAACGAAUUCUACGGCAGGCCAUUGGAGGAGAUCGACAAUUUUAUCUACGACGAGACGUUCUGCGUGGUAUCUAAGAGAUUCCGUAAGAACUACAUCCAUAGAUUUACGGCGACCAACAGUUGGUUUAUAUUCUCUCCGUGGAAUCCUAUACGGCGGUGCUGUAUCUUCCUAAGUACGAAUCAGUACUUUGAUUACGUGGUCAUGGCUACUAUACUUCUUAACUGCGUCUUCCUGGCCAUGACCGAAACUGUCGAGGAAGCCGAAUAUAUCUUCCUAGCCAUAUACACGGCGGAAAUGGUGAUAAAAUCAAUUGCGAAGGGAUUUAUACUGAACAAGUACACUUAUCUACGGAAUCCCUGGAAUUGGUUGGACUUCGUGGUGAUUACCAGCGGAUACGCCACUAUCGGGAUGGAAGUCGGGAAUCUAGCCGGUCUCAGGACGUUCAGAGUAUUGAGAGCACUUAAGACUGUAUCCAUUAUGCCAGGUCUGAAGACUAUCAUCAACGCACUGUUGCACAGUUUCAAGCAACUUGCCGAAGUAAUGACGCUGACAAUUUUUUGCCUGAUGGUUUUUGCACUGUUCGCCUUGCAAGUUUAUAUGGGCGAACUUAGGAAUAAAUGUGUGAAGCAUCAAGAGCCAAACGCCACGCAAAUCGACUGGAUGGAGUGGACUUGGAACUCAUCCAAUUGGGCGUUCAAUGAGGACGAGGAGCCGAUCAUCUGUGGCAACGUAACCGGCGCCAGGCACUGCAACGAGAGCUACACUUGUCUCUGCGUUGGCCCUAAUCCAAACCACGGUUACACCAACUUCGAUAAUUUCCUGUGGUCGAUGCUCACAACCUUUCAGUUGAUUACCUUGGAUUACUGGGAGGAUGUCUACAACAAGGUAUUAUCGGCGUGCGGACCUAUUAGCGUCACAUUCUUCACAGUCGUCGUUUUUUUUGGAUCCUUUUAUCUCCUGAACUUGAUGCUGGCCGUCGUGGCAUUGAGUUAUGAGGAAGAAGCUGAGAUUACAAAUGAGGAACGAAGGAAAGACUUGACGGAUCAUCGUGAGGACUCGACGUUUAGUUUCGACCCGUCGAAAAUCAACAUUAAGACAUUGACGAAAGAUAAACAGAAGAGAAUAGACGCUCGUAAAGGAGUUUUGCUCAGUAGUUAUACGAGGAAGAAGACGCGUAGAAGAAAGCGCGGGAGGAGUAGCGCCGGUCAGGAGAAAAACGGUGGUGCACGCAGCAGAUCCGUGACACCUAGUCCGAGCCCUAGUCCUAGGCAUUCAAAUGUACGACCUUGCCACUUGCCACUCCAGAACGUCAAUCCCAGACCACCGGAACCCAACACGAUUCACCGACUAGCGCCAAACAGGGGUAUGUUGCACUCCAGGCAGGCCAGUAACAAUAGUAAUCAACAGUCAUCCUUGGAUGACUCUGGGGUGGUGGAUGACCACGAUGGUGAUGACGUCACGUCUGCCGAAGAACAUGACAAGCGCGAAUCGCGGGAACAUCGCGCCGAGAAAUCACAAGAGAGAUCUCCAAGGGAGCAUGGCAAGGUCCAACCGGUUCAACAGAUACGUCCGGAUUGCCCACCGGCGCCGGUUACUGUAUCGGUGAGAACCGGUAAUAGGGAGAUUCGGGUGCUCAAGUGCAACGGGGUUAAAACCAAGAAACAUAUGUACACGCUGCCGCCAGAGUACCUGUCGCACAUUGUAGUUUUAGAUGAUCUUCCAGAUAGAAAUUGCGAUAAGUGUAUUCAAUGCUGCGUAGAUUACGAAGGAUGGCUAAGAUUUCAAAAUUGUUUAUAUAAGGUGGUGAGAGAUCCCCUCUUUGAGCUCAUGAUCACCCUCUGCAUCGUCUUGAAUACCGGCUUUCUGGCGAUGGAGCAUCAUGGUAUGAGCGAGUCGAUACGGCAGGCGCUCAAUAUCGGCAACAAGGUGUUCACUAGCAUUUUCACAUUUGAAUGCUUCCUAAAGCUCUUGGCAUUGAGCAAGGACUUCUUCAACAACGGCUGGAACAACUUCGAUCUGAUCAUCGUUUCCGCGUCGCUUAUCGAUUUAACGUUCGAGUUGGUGGAUGGCCUAUCAGUGAUACGCGGCCUCAGGCUAUUACGCGUUCUGAAGCUCGCACAAUCCUGGACGACCAUGAAGGUCCUCCUCAGCAUCAUUAUUUCAACGAUCGGUGCACUUGGUAAUCUGACUUUCGUAUUGGUGAUCGUGAUCUAUAUAUUCGCUGUGAUUGGCAUGCAGCUAUUUAGCAAAGACUAUACCCUAGACAAGUUCUAUCCAGAUCCGGUGCCGCGAUGGAAUUUCAAUGAUUUCUUCCAUUCGUUUAUGAUGAUAUUUCGCAUUCUGUGCGGCGAAUGGAUCGAGCCACUAUGGGACUGCAUGCGUGCGGAGAGAGACGACGGGCCGGGCACGUGUUUCGCCAUCUUCCUACCGGCUCUGGUGAUGGGUAAUUUUAUGGUUCUCAAUCUUUUCUUGGCGUUGUUACUCAAUAGCUUUAAUUCCGAAGAGCUGAAGCAGAAGAAAGAGGAGGUUGGCGAGGAAUCGAAGCUCGCGCGUUCGUUCGAUCGUAUACGAUCGAUCGUGCGCAAGCAGAAGCAUCGGAAAGAAAACUCCGAGAAUGAAAAGAACAUUCGGCUGGAGCAGAUCGUACGCGAGGUGAUGGACAAGUCCGACAAGGAGAAGUAUGCGAUUCAGGAGACCGUACUGAGCCUUCCCAAAGACAAUAUUUAUAAUAGAUCGUAUCAGGAAAGUCUCAAUCAGCCAGUCUUCACGUACGAUCCGAUCUACCGUCAGGCCACUCUCACUACCUACAGUCAGAACAAUCAGGAGACGGUAAAGGAAAACAAGAAAUUGACCGAGAAGGGCAAUAGCAACGAGACCAAUCCCGAGGAGAGUAUAGAACUACAGGUGCUCAAAGACGCCAACAAGGACGAGGAAGUAGCCAUGUUGCCAGAGGAGAAGCCAGUCAUUCGGAACGACGAGAUCAUAGGAAAACGACCCUGGCAUGCUCUCGUGAGUUACGUGGACGAGCUCACAGUCGGCGGUAGAAGAGAUAGUAAGGGAAGAUACAUCGACGGGAUGGGCUCGUUUCCUGGAUUUGAUAGAAACAAGCAGCGCAAGGAGCCACUUGAUUGCCUUCCGCAGCAUUGCUACCAGAAAUGUAACUGUAUCAAUCAUUGCCUCGCCACGGACCUCGGCAAGAAGUGGAUAAGAGUUCGUACGGUUGUCCUAUCGGUCGUGGACACGCCCGCUUUCGAAUGGAUGAUCCUAGUUUUAAUUUUCGCAUCUUCCAUAACGCUGUGCUUCGAGGAUAUCUACUUAGACGACAAUCCUUUUUUGAAGAAGAUUCUCUAUUGGACCAAUCUUGGCUUCUGCGCACUUUUCAGCGUCGAGAUGCUCCUAAAAUGGCUAGCUUUAGGCUUCUGUAAAUACUUCACCAGUUUCUGGACAAUCCUGGAUUUUAUAAUCGUUUUCGUAUCCAUGUUUAGCCUUUUGAUAGAAGAAAAUGAGAACCUUAAAGUAUUACGAUCACUGAGGACACUACGCGCUCUGAGGCCGCUGAGGGCGAUCUCGAGAUGGCAAGGCAUGAGGAUCGUAGUGAACGCGUUGAUGUAUGCAAUACCUAGUAUAUUCAACGUGCUCCUCGUCUGUCUCGUGUUCUGGCUUAUUUUUUCGAUAAUGGGCGUCCAAUUCUUCGGCGGCAAAUUCUUCAAAUGCGUCGACGAGUACGGGGAACUGCUGGACAUUUCGAUAGUGAAUACCAAGGAGGAGUGUUUCAGCAAGAACUAUUCUUGGGAGAAUAGCAAGAUCACUUUCGAUCACGUUGGUAUCGCUUACCUGGCUUUGUUUCAAGUAGCAACCUUUGAGGGAUGGAUGGAAGUGAUGGAGGAUGCUGUGGAUGCGAGAGGAGUAGAUCUGCAACCACAAAGAGAAGCGAAUCUUUACGCUUAUCUCUAUUUUGUCAUAUUCAUCGUCUGCGGUUCAUUCUUCACGCUCAAUCUCUUUAUUGGAGUGAUCAUAGACAAUUUCAACAUGUUGAAAAAAAAGUACGAAGGUGGAGUGUUAGAAAUGUUUUUGACCGAGAGUCAAAAACACUACUACACUGCCAUGAAAAAACUCGGCCGUAAAAAGCCGCAAAAAGUUAUAAAACGUCCAAUGAACCAAUUUCUCGCAAUGUUCUACGACCUGUCCAAUUCUCGCAGAUUCGAAAUAGCUAUCUUCGUUUUGAUAUUUCUCAACAUGUUGACGAUGGGAAUCGAACACUACAAUCAGCCACAUCCCAUUUUCUUCGUUCUCGAAGUGUCGAAUGCAUUUUUCACAACUGUUUUCGGCCUGGAGGCAAUUGUCAAGAUAAUAGGACUGCGUUAUCAUUACUUCACGGUGCCGUGGAAUUUAUUUGAUUUUCUGCUUGUGUUGGCAUCCAUCCUGGGUAUUUUGAUGGAAGACAUCAUGAUGGAUUUCCCUGUGUCCCCGACGCUCUUGCGAGUCGUGAGGGUGUUCAGAAUCGGCAGAAUCUUGAGGCUCAUCAAAGCCGCGAAAGGUAUCCGCAAGCUGCUCUUCGCCCUUGUCGUCAGUCUUCCAGCGCUUUUCAACAUCGGGGCUUUGCUGGCCCUGAUCACAUUUAUCUAUGCCAUCAUUGGCAUGUCUGUUUUCGGACAUGUCAGAAAACAAGGCGCCUUGGAUGAUAUGGUAAAUUUCGAAACCUUCGGUAGAAGUAUGCAGCUGCUAUUCCGUUUGAUGACUUCGGCUGGAUGGAACGAUGUACUGGAGUCACUGAUGGUACAACCACCUGAAUGCGAUCCCACCCCAAACAGCCGACAAAUGAAUGGAGAUUGCGGAUAUCCUUUACUAGCGAUCACGUACUUUACAUCGUUUAUUAUCAUUAGCUAUAUGAUAGUAAUCAACAUGUACAUUGCCAUCAUCUUAGAGAACUUCAAUCAAGCUCAUCAGGAGGAGGAGAUCGGUAUUGUCGAGGAUGACCUCGAAAUGUUCUACAUUCGAUGGUCGAAGUACGAUCCGCAUGCAACUCAAUUUAUCAGUUUCUCGCAGUUGAGCGACUUUAUAGCGAGCCUGGACCCGCCGCUGGGGAUAUCAAAGCCCAACAUAGUAGCAUUGGUUAGCUUUAAUCUUCCCAUCGCAAAGGGUAACAAGAUUCAUUGUCUGGACAUCUUGCACGCUCUCGUCAAGCACGUUCUUGGGCACGUCGAGGAAUCAGACGACUUCAGGAAGCUGCAGGAACAGAUGGACGUCAAGUUCAAAAAGCAGUUUCCGACUAGAAAAGAAUUGGAGAUAGUGUCUUCCACGAGAAUCUGGAAGCGACAAGACAAAGCUGCCAGGUUGAUUCAACGUUCUAUAAGAGAAUAUAUUGCAAUGAAAAAAGAGCGAGAAAGAAUCGCUCAGGAGGUGGACUCGCAGACGCAGACCUCGAGUCCGGGCGGCGUGGAUGGUAGGGGCGGGGGUGGAUGGGGCGGUAAGCUGUCGGCUCUGCUACACGUGCAUCGGGGUAGCCGGGCCAGUAGCCGCAAGUCCUCCAGGGCUAGCGACGCCAGCGAUCUCAGCGAACUCGGCACCGCUUCGGCGUGGCUGUUCCCAAAUCUUCCUCUGCUGUUGCUCUCCGGCGCCACAGGAACCCACGAGGACCUGCAACCCCCGGCGCUGACUGUGUCCCGUCCCUCACCGACCGCCGAACAACCUUCCGCUGCCUCUAGCUCCGGCUCAGAUUCUCACGCUACUGUCAGAUCGCUGGGCCCCACGCUGGGCCGGCAGGACGCAGUGGAGAAAUACUCGGAGGAGGACAUACUCAGUCCACCGACCUCAAAGCGCAGUUCCCUGCGACCGAGCGGUACCACGCUCUCCCUGAACACGUUGCAGCGGGAUAUCAAGGAGGCGUUCAAUCGACGAUGCGGCAGCCUGAGACGGCGGGCGCCGCCUCCAUCUCCGGUGCAGCUGCCAGUCGAGAGUAGCGACGUGAGUAUUCUGGUAACGGAGCCCAGUCCGGAGAACUCGGCACCGCCCUCGAGGCCGCCGCUGAUCAGACAGCAAUCGGAGGCGACGGUGGUGCAUGUGCUGGUGCACAGGGAGAGCGAGGAAUACCAAGACACGCCGGAUGACAGCUGAUCCUAGUUGACGACCAUCACCACGUCGGACAGCGACAGCGACAGCGACUCAGUGAUAAUAUAUACGUAGACGUAUAUUAUAUACAUACAUGUAGACUUUUCACACAGCGCAGAUCUAAUUCUAGAUAGGACGAUAAAUCCGCAUUGGCUUCUUCGGGGCGAAUCUCCUCGAGAUGGAGAGCGACAUGUGCGUGCAUGCGAGUAUGUAUGUGAGAGCGUCUGAGUCGUCGAAGUGUCGGAGCGAUGGUUCUCGGCCAAUUUGAGAAGAGAAAUUAAAAAACGACCAUAGAUUUUUUGCUGAUUAAGAAGAAGAAAGUCAUGGUUGAGAGCCAUUGCAUCAAUAAACGAAGAAAGGGACAAGGACGAGAUUGAAAAGAAAUUUUCGAGUGAAAAAAAGGAUAAAAAAUAAAGUUAAACCAAGAUUGAGAUAGAAAUGGACAUUAGAAAUCAUUCGAUGAAACAUUUAAGUAUAUCUCUCGGACAUCCGCACUGCACGAGGGCAAUUUAAUCAACGUAGAAGUAAAUAGACACCCGCAUAGCGUUUUUCAUUAUACAUUACAUAUUGUAAUCCGAUGAUGUUAAUCAGACUAUAGAGCACUUUUGGCAGAGCUCAGUAACUCCACUCGUGUGAAAAAGAAGAGAAAAAAGAAAGAACUAGGCAAACGAAAGAAUGUUUUUUUCGUUUUCUUUUAUUCUGAGGGGAGAUUUUCUUAAAACGAGGAACGUCUUGGUGAUUCGAAAAUUCAGUAGAUUUGUGGAGAUUCAACGAAAACGGGUCCGGGAUCCUCGGGAGCUGGUUUUCACGAGGCAUAUA
rnacentral:misc_RNA from 1 species